rfam:Microgenomates (Daviesbacteria) bacterium GW2011_GWB1_41_5 TT67_C0066, whole genome shotgun sequence.
UAGACAUUAACGCGAGUUAAUAUUGAAUAAAUAUUGGAAGUCUGCAGAGGUCGUAGUAUCCCGCCUUUGGCGGGAGAAGGAC